UUUAUGGAGAGUUUGAUCCUGGCUCAGGAUGAACGCUGGCGGCGUGCCUAAUACAUGCAAGUCGAGCGAACGGACGAGAAGCUUGCUUCUCUGAUGUUAGCGGCGGACGGGUGAGUAACACGUGGAUAACCUACCUAUAAGACUGGGAUAACUUCGGGAAACCGGAGCUAAUACCGGAUAAUAUUUUGAACCGCAUGGUUCAAAAGUGAAAGACGGUCUUGCUGUCACUUAUAGAUGGAUCCGCGCUGCAUUAGCUAGUUGGUAAGGUAACGGCUUACCAAGGCAACGAUGCAUAGCCGACCUGAGAGGGUGAUCGGCCACACUGGAACUGAGACACGGUCCAGACUCCUACGGGAGGCAGCAGUAGGGAAUCUUCCGCAAUGGGCGAAAGCCUGACGGAGCAACGCCGCGUGAGUGAUGAAGGUCUUCGGAUCGUAAAACUCUGUUAUUAGGGAAGAACAUAUGUGUAAGUAACUGUGCACAUCUUGACGGUACCUAAU
rnacentral:rRNA from 1 species